GUCCACGCCGUAAACGUUGGGAACUAGGUGUUGGCGACAUUCCACGUCGUCGGUGCCGCAGCUAACGCAUUAAGUUCCCCGCCUGGGGAGUACGGCCGCAAGGCUAAAACUCAAAGGAAUUGACGGGGGCCCGCACAAGCAGCGGAGCAUGUGGCUUAAUUCGACGCAACGCGAAGAACCUUACCAAGGCUUGACAUACACCGGAAAGCCGUAGAGAUGCGGUUUCCCUUGUGGUCGGUGUACAGGUGGUGCAUGGCUGUCGU
rnacentral:rRNA from 1 species